rnacentral:rRNA from 1 species
UAUGUGAUCGUCUCUCGCAUAUCAAUAAGCGGAGGAAAAGAAAACUAACAAGGAUUCCCCUAGUAACGGCGAGUGAAGCGGGAAGAGCUCAAAUUUGAAAUCUUAAAGGGUUUCCCUUUACGAAUUGUAGUUUAAAGAAGUGUUUUCUGUUGAGGUUUUGGUAAAAGUUCUUUGGAAUAGGACAUCAUAGAGGGUGAGAAUCCCGUAUUUGACCUUUACUUUCAACUUUGUGAUACACUUUCAAAGAGUCGGAUUGUUUGGGAAUGCAGUCCAAAAUGGGUGGUAAACUUCAUCUAAAGCUAAAUAUUGGCGAGAGACCGAUAGCGAACAAGUACCGUGAGGGAAAGAUGAAAAGAACUUUGAAAAGAGAGUUAAACAGUACGUGAAAUUGUCAAAAGGGAAGCGUUUGACACCAGUGUUGUUUUUCUGAAAAUCAAUUAAAGAACUGUUUAUGCUAAGUUGUUUAGACUUUAUCAGCUAUCUGCUUAGUUUUGAGCUUUUCUUUAAUGCACUUUUCAGUUAACAAGUCAACAUCAAUUUCUUUUGCUGUAAAAAAGCUUGAGGAAGGUGGCUUGAGAUUCGUCUUAAGUGUUUAUAGCCUCUUGCCUAUGCAGUCGGAGAGAUUGAGGUCUGCAGCGUAGAUCCUUCGGGGCUAAAUGCAUUUGUGCUAAGUUAUAGCAUUUUAUAGACAACUUGUUGACUAUGAUUUGUCUUGUAGCUUACUCGCUUAUGUUAUUUUACCUACGCUUAGGAUGUUGAGCGCAUGUCUCUCUCU